rnacentral:rRNA from 1 species
UGAGUAACCUGCCCUUAACUCUGGGAUAAGCCUGGGAAACUGGGUCUAAUACCGGAUAUGACUCCUCAUCGCAUGGUGGGGAGUGGAAAGCUUUUUUGUGGUUUUGGAUGGACUCGCGGCCUAUCAGCUUGUUGGUGAGGUAAUGGCUCACCAAGGCGACGACGGGUAGCCGGCCUGAGAGGGCGACCGGCCACACUGGGACUGAGACACGGCCCAGACUCCUACGGGAGCAG